rnacentral:lncRNA from 1 species
CCAAUACCUAUUUCUCCCUCCAGCCUUCACACUCUUGUAGUUUAAGAAUGAGAUAAUCUUGUAGCUGCUGGGAGUUUCCAUGAAGGGGGACUGGCCCAGGAAUGAGGUCAACCAGAGAAAAGUAGAGCCCUGAGAGAGGGACUAGGUCCUGAAGACUUCAUUUAAGACACAGGAUCCAGCCUUGCUUGAUGUCAUUACUCCUAGACUUUCACGUACAAGAGCCAAAAAAUUGUCUUUUCUUCCCCCUUAACCCAGGGCUCCUGCAACCAAAAGAACACUUGACUGUGGCAUCUUUCCAGCCUCCUGUUAGCAGCUAGGUAAGGUGCCCCCAUGGCAAGGAGCUGCGGGCAGCCUCAAGAAACUGGGUGGCCUCUUAGGACCUGAGGGCAGCCUCCAACAAGCAAGCAGCAAACCUCUGGGGCCUUCUGUUCUACAACUGCAAGGAAAUAAAUUCUGCCAACAGCCUGAAUGAGCACGGAAGUGAACUCUUUCUCAGUCGAGCCUCUGAAUGAGAACACAGUUCAACUCAUGCCUUGACUGCAGCUUGUGAGAGUCUGAGAAGAGGACCAGGACUCAUGAUCCUGAAGACAAUGAAGAAGAAAUAUGACAGUCGGUCCCGAGUGUGGAAUGAACACUCUGCUCUCCCAGCUGGGGAACUCCGUGAGGACCCACAUAAGCAAUGCAGAAGCAUUGGGAAACACAUGCAAUAACUGGGGCCAUCUGUUUUCUCCUGAAAACUAGUGGUGGGCUGGAUUCUCUGAAGAGUUUCUCAAGGCAUGUUGGACCAGAACAACCUGCUCAGAGAAGAGGCAAGGUCCCUGCCUGGGCCUCUGAGGUGUUGGAGGUGGGGCCAGCCCACCCCCAGGCCGUGAGGCCUGGCUGCUGGAAGGAGGCAGGACCCAGAAGGUUGCUGCCAUCCUGGGGUGUCUGAGUCCCCAUGUGGCCCAGCUGUGUUCCUGCUGGCCCGGCAUCCACACCCUUGUCUCUGGAUGUGCGGUGGGAGAAUUGUCUUUCUCCACGAACAGGCCAGGUGGUUCCUGGGAUUGACCUCUCUCUCCCAGGUGUGGACAAGCAGAGCAUCCUACGUCCCCAGCUACAGCGACUGGCUGAUAUGGUUUGGCUGUGUCCCCACCCAAAGCUCAUCUUGAAUUCCCACGUGUUGUGGGAGGGACCCAGUGGGAGGUAAUUGAAUCAUGGGGGCAGGUCUUUCCUGUGCUGUUCUCAUGAUAGUGAGUAAAUCUCACAAGAUCUAAUGGUUUUAUAAGGAGGCUGCACAAGCUCUUUCUCUGCCUGCUGCCAACCAUGUAAGAUGUGACUUGCUCCUCCUUUGCCUUCCACCAUGAUUAUGAGGCUUCUCCUGCCACAUGGAACUGUGAGUCCAUUAAAAUCUUUUUCCUGGAUAAAUUACCUAGUCUCGGGUAUGUCUUUAUCAGCAGCGUGAAAACGGACUAAUACGCUGGGCUAGGCUUGGUCAUGUGACCCAGGCCAAUCAAUGAAAUACAGGCUUGGGACUUUUGCAGGGAUAAUUUAGACAGGAAGGCUCUUUUCCCAUUAGGGUGCUAGGCUGGGCUAAUAUGUCAAACCAGCUGGUGGUCUCCCUCUUUAACCACAUGGAGAAAUCCCUUGCAAGUAGAAAAAAAAAAGCAAAGCUAUUAGACAGAGGAGGGUAGAGCUGAAGAUGGGGUGAUAGACAGCCCUGAUGACAUUGUUUGAAUCCCUGGAUCCAGGUGGUCCUGAAGCCUGCCUACCACCCCUGGUCUUUUAGGUAUUUGAACCCAUCACUUCCUUGUUUUGCUUAAACAAACUGUGGUUAGGUUCAGAAUCCUGGUUUAAACACCCGUCCCUGAGUUCUUUCAUAGGUUGCACUUGCUGUCCCAGGGCCUUUACUGUCUAGGUUGGAUGAUAGGUACACAGCCUUUCUCCUGUACUGGGGUGGAAGCCCUGGUGCCUGCUAUAUCUGGGCUUUGAUGCCUGGGUCAGGAUCUUGAAACUUCUCUGCAGGCAUUUCCUUUCAUGGGAAGCCCAGCAACUUGGCUGUUAGACUUGAGGUCAAAUCCUGGUCCUGCCACUGGGCAGGUGACCCUGUCUGCACCCCACUAUCCUCAUCUUUACAUUCUCCUGGGGAUAAUAUCCCCACCUCCCAGGAUGUCGGGGGAAUGAAUGAGAGAUGCUGUGAAGCACCAGGCAAGGUGCUGGUGGAUGUGGGAGCUGUUUCAAUUAUUGUUAUUUGUGCCUCACACACCCAGAGUGAAAGGGAAGCUGUGGGCUGGUCUCACAGGCCAGCCCCUGCAGCCUCUGAGUUUUUUAAUGAA